UUGGCAAUAAUCUUUUUAAAGAUGGUUUGGACUUAUUCAAGAAUUGCGGAAAUUAGCCUACGUUAAGCAUUUACUUCGUAUUGUUAAUAGGAAUCGCUAAUUUCAAUAAACUAAAUUUUCGAUGCGGCGUGGUAGGCAAUUAUUGCAGAACACCCACGUUCCACAGUAAGUGCAUCUCCCCCACACGAUUGUCGCCGCUACCCCCGCUCAGCUGUAUUUGU